UUUAACGGCCGCGGUAUUUUGACCGUGCAAAGGUAGCAUAAUCAUUAGUCUUUUAAUAGAGGGCUGGAAUGAAAGGUUUGACGAGGUAUUAGCUGUCUCAUUUUGAUGAUUUUAAAAUUUAAUUUUUAAGUUAAAAAGCUUAGAUAUUUUUGGAAGACGAGAAGACCCUAUAGAGCUUUAUGGUUAUAUCUUGUAAUAUUUUUGGUUUAAUUUGAAUUAUAUUAUUCUGUAUGACUUUUUUGUUGGGGUGACAAGAAAUAUAUAUUUAACUUUUAUUAUUUAUAGAACACUUAUUUGUGAUUAUUAGAUCCUUUUUUAUUGAUUAUUAGAUUAAGUUACCUUAGGGAUAACAGCGUAAUCCCCUUUUGGAGUUCUUAUUUACAAGGGGGCUUGCGACC
rnacentral:rRNA from 1 species